GGGGUUUGACCUAAUUGGU
rnacentral:siRNA from 1 species